UCAAACUUGGUCAUUUAGAGGAAGUAAAAGUCGUAACAAGGUUUCCGUAGGUGAACCUGCGGAAGGAUCAUUAAAAAAUCUUUUUGAGCCGCAAGGCUCUGUUAUUUUGUGCAAGGUUUUUGUGUGCGUGUGAUGUGGAUGGAUGUGUGCGUUAUUAUGUGCGCACGUCUGUCGGCGUCGUGCACGCACGCAAUUUAUUAUCACCGUUACAACGUAAUAAGAGGAAGUAUGUACAUGCAAAUGUUAAUACAAUAAUCACUAAACAACUUUCAACAGUGGAUCUCUCGGCUCUUGCAUCGAUGAAGAACGCAGC
rnacentral:misc_RNA from 1 species